rnacentral:rRNA from 1 species
UACGUAGGGUGCAAGCGUUGUCCGGAAUUAUUGGGCGUAAAGAGCUCGUAGGCGGCCUGUUGCGUCGGCUGUGAAAACCCGGGGCUCAACUCCGGGCCUGCAGUCGAUACGGGCAGGCUAGAGUCCGGCAGGGGAGACUGGAAUUCCUGGUGUAGCGGUGAAAUGCGCAGAUAUCAGGAGGAACACCGGUGGCGAAGGCGGGUCUCUGGACAGUUCCUGACGCUGAGGCACGAAGGCCAGGGGAGCAAACGGG